rnacentral:misc_RNA from 1 species
AUUCCAGAGGGGAGAGCAAAAGAUUAUAUUAAGGACUUUGGUUGCCAAAAAUCAUAAAAAUGCAAACUUCACAUGAAACUGACCUUCCUAUUCACAAUCAAACACAUUUGUCAUCCAAAACUUAUCACGUUCAGAUAAAAGAGAAAAAAAAUGAAACUUCAAAAGAAUAGACCAAAUCGACCUUGUCUCUAUCAUCAAUUCCAUCCCCAGAAUUACC